CUACUUACUUGCUGUGCUUCUCUGAGUGCCUCGUGGCCUCUUUAUCACCACCUGUUGAAGGAAAUGUUAGAUCCAGAUAUGGAUGGAAGGUUCUAGGGGCUAAGUGCAUGUUUGAGUGAAAGCUGUAAGAGAGCUAAUGAGCACAGAAUCUAGAAAAAAAAAUAGGCAUCCAGGUAUACACACAGCUGCAUCGUGUCACUGCAAGCGGCUCCCAGAGUUGUUCCUGUUCAUCCAGGAAGAAAGAAAAUCCCGCCAAAGAUUGAGAGAGAUCAAUAAAUGUAUUUCCAAAGAACCUGAAAGAAGAUGUUUCCAUUUGGCUGUCUUACCCUCUAUCCAAGCUCAGAGGGAAAUGCAUUCAAGAACGUUAACGGCCAGCACAAAUUCCAUUCCAAGCCAUGGAGCGGGAAGGGCACAUGAUACCAAGUGUCCCACCAGACGGCCAUCUUGCUAACUAAUACACCUCGGGAUUACAUUUGCAUUUACACAAAAUGUGAGCUUUGGGAGCCAGACGUAUUAUUUUGGUUAAUAGUUUGGCACGUUCUCAGCUUGGAAGCCUGAGCAUAUGUGAUGGGUCAGUAACACAAUAAAAGUAACGGGGAAGCAUUUCUUUCCCCAGUGGUGAAUUUCUACCCUAUUCAGGAAACAGACUUCCCAACUCAGCCAUUACAGCUGUCUGGAUCGUUCAUACCAUUUGCUGUUAAAUAUACCCAAGUAGGAAAAACAGUGUCUUUGUAUUUGCUGUUAAAUGUAAUCAGAGACAAUCUUUACGGUCAUUCGGGAUCAUUACUAUCAGCAUAAUUACUGCUUUAGAGAACAAUAAUCAUACAUAUGUGUGGUAUAGAUAUGCGGGGAGUCCAAUGCAGAAAUGCAGAAGAGACAAAAGUGCCUGUUAAUAUUUUACGAAAGCUGUAAUUUUAUUGAAAAUUAACUAAUUUACCUAAAGGAACAACUUCGUAUAGGAUUUUUUAGCUCAAUGUGUUCAACAAAGUAGAAAAAAUUACAGGGGGGAAAAGAAACCCUUACCCAGUACAUUGAUGCCUGACAUGACGUGAUUAGAAGUAAUCUAUAUUUUGCAAGUUUAAGAACUAUCUCUAGUUAAGAUGUAAUACCUUUAUAUGAGAAUGUGCAGCGACUCCUCGAGUCAAUAACUGUGUAAGUGUCUGUGUGUGUCCAUUUAUUUUGUAAAAGAGAGAUGAUAUGUUAAAA
rnacentral:lncRNA from 1 species